UCAUGUUCCUGUAAUGCAAAUGCUACUGCGAUUAGUAUCCAGUAUAUCAACUUAGGUGUUGAAACAUGCAACAGAGUAAAUGUGCUACUAGAUUAUAAACCUAUAUAUAAUUGUACGGGAGAACCCGUGUUUAUUCCUAGAAGGAGCCUUAAAGCCAAGCAUCUACAGAUCAAUAUCACCCAAUACAAGCCCAGUUAUGGUGAUGCAAUAUUGAUGCUGAUCAAAGAUGAAAGCGGAACAGAUUCGGUGCAGGUGUCAUGUGAUUGUGAUAAUGUCGUAAGUGCUAAAUGGAGUAAGUGGUCUUCAUUCAGUCCAUGCUCUGUGUCAUGUGGUAACGGAUCUAUGAUUAGAACUAGAACAUGUAACAAUCCUGUAGGAGGUGGUGCGGCAAAUUGUGGUGGCAAUUCUAAUCAGACCACGAUGUGUAACCAACUGCCAUGUUUUGGAAUGGAUGGAAGUUGGAGUGAGUGGUCAUCGGUCAGCAACUGCUCUGUUACAUGUGGUGGAGGAACUAAACUCAAGACCAGACAGUGUAACAAUCCAACAUCGAUAAAUGAAGGGGCUAGUUGCACCGGCCCGUCUUACAAGAACCAGGUGUGCAAUACUUCUACUUGCACGGGCACGUAUGUACCAUGGAUUGUCUCAGGUGUUGCAAUAUUGGUCAUCCUUGUAAUCGCAAUAAUAUGGUUUAUCCGAUUAAUUCGAACUCGAAUCAAUAAAGCCAGCCUUUAUGAUACCCCAACACGACAGUCUACUGCCAUUUUUCACAACCAAGAGUAUACUGAAUUACAACCCCGGGUAAUUGACGAUGAUCAUGUGUGCUCACAUUACCUCGCUCUGGUAAACACAACCAAUGAAUAUGCACCAUUCAACGCAGGGACCAGGGAUGACGUACAUUAUAAGGCAUUACAACCACCACCAGAGAGUGAUAAUAAUCCGGUUUCCUUGUCAAACUAUGUUAAUAUAAGCAAUCAACAUGUUAUAUCUGAUGGCAUUUAUAUUAACCCAGUGCAUGAACGGAUUUAUUAAUCCAGACCUCGUGCAUCUAAAUAAUAUUCAUCCCUUACCACUAAGACUGGGCCCUGUUUCUCGAAAUCUUAAUCCAAGUUUUAGUAGAUACUUCAAUUGUUAAGCCCUAAAAUGAAUCUAAUAUUAUCCAAUCAAAUUACUAAAAUUUGGAUUUUAUCUUAGUUAAGAUUUCGUGAAACAGGCCCCACGAUCCGUAUUCAAAGGAAGUCUUUAAUCGAAGUUAGUUUAGUGGUAUUCAAAGGCAAAUUUAGGUGAGAAAAAUCCACUUUAUUUUAAGUAACCCUAUGGGAGUUGCCAUAAAGUUAGGCGUGAUUAUAAUAACUUCUUUCGGCUGGAGUAUACAACGUAGUACUAGUGGCAGACCCGCAAGGUUGAUUUUUAGAGUGUCAGGUCUGCAGCGUUGAUGUAAUGCCAUCAUUAUGUAUACGGUUAUUGCCACCGCGAUGUUCAAGGAUAUCCCUUUUCCAAUCAUUUAUCAUGUUCGUAAUCAUGUUUUCCACGACUGAUACAUAAUACAGUUUGGUGUGUUUUAACUACAUUUGUAAAACUUGACACUGUGAUGGCAUUUCAUUGUAGAUGUCAUCAAAUAUUUAUGCUACUUUUCAACUCAUUCCCUUAUACAUGGGGAUCACGUGGCUAAGUGGGUAAGACGCUGGCUCGCUAGCCUGGAGGUCGGGUGUUCGAUCCCUGCAUUGGCCGAGAAAGUUCAUCCAGAUUUUCCGGCGUGGUUCUCCCUUGUCAGUGAUGCAGGACGGAGGGGCUGACAGGGAAAGC